CAAUUAAAGCGGUACGCGAGCUGGGUUCAAAACGUCGUGAGACAGUUUGGUCCCUAUCUGCUGUGGGCGCAGGAUACUUGAGAAGAGCUGCUUCUAGUACGAGAGGACCGAAGUGGACGAACCAAUGGUGUUCCGGUUGUUCUGCCAAGAGCAUUGCCGGGUAGCUACGUUCGGAAAGGAUAAGCGUUGAAAGCAUCUAAACGCCAAGCCUCCUUCAAGAUAAAGUAUCCCUAUGAGAUGACCUGAAGACUACAGGGUUGAUAGGCUGGGUGUGUAAGUGUAGUAAUACAUUGAGCUAACCAGUACUAAUACAUCCAUAGGCUUGAUCUU
rnacentral:rRNA from 1 species